rnacentral:rRNA from 1 species
UAGUGGCGGACGGGUGAGUAACGCGUGGGAAUCUGCCCUCAGGAGGGGGAUAACGGUUGGAAACGACCGCUAAUACCCCAUAUGCCAAGAGGUGAAACGAAAUUCGCCUGAGGAUGAGCCCGCGUCUGAUUAGCUAGUUGGUGGGGUAAAGGCCUACCAAGGCAUCGAUCAGUAGCUGGUCUGAGAGGAUGAUCAGCCACACUGGGACUGAGACACGGCCCAGACUCCUACGGGAGGCAGCAGUGGGGAAUUUUCCGCAAUGGGCGCAAGCCUGACGGAGCAACGCCGCGUGAGGGAUGAAGGCCUCUGGGCUGUAAACCUCUUUUCUCAAGGAAGAAGAACUGACGGUACUUGAGGAAUAAGCCACGGCUAA